rnacentral:rRNA from 1 species
GGAUGCGAUCAUAUCAGCACUAAAGCACCGGAUCCCAUCAGAACUCUGAAGUUAAGUGUGCUUGGGCGAGAGUAGUACUAGGAUGGGUGACCUCCUGGGAAGUCCUCGUGUUGCAUUCC